rnacentral:rRNA from 1 species
GUAGGUGGCAAGCGUUGUCCGGAAUUAUGGGCGUAAAGCGCGCGCAGGCGGGUUCUUUAAGUCUGAUGUGAAAGCCCACGGGCUCAACCGUGGAGGGUCAUUGGAAACUGGAGAACUUGAGUACAGAAGAGGAAAGCGGAAUUCCACGUGUAGCGGUGAAAUGCGUAGAGAUGUGGAGGAACACCAGUGGCGAAGGCGGCUUUCUGGUCUGUAACUGACGCUGAGGCGCGAAAGCGUGGGGAGCAAACAGGAUUAGAUACCCUGGUAGUCCACGCCGUAAACGAUGAGUGCUAAGUGUUAGGGGGUUUCCGCCCCUUAGUGCUGCAGCUAACGCAUUAAGCACUCCGCCUGGGGAGUACGGCCGCAAGGCUG